GCUACCUGAUUCAGCGGCGGACGGGUGAGUAAUGCCUAGGAAUCUGCCCGAUAGUGGGGGACAACGUUUCGAAAGGAACGCUAAUACCGCAUACGUCCUACGGGAGAAAGUGGGGGAUCUUCGGACCUCACGCUAUCGGAUGAGCCUAGGUCGGAUUAGCUAGUUGGUGAGGUAAUGGCUCACCAAGGCGACGAUCCGUAACUGGUCUGAGAGGAUGAUCAGUCACACUGGAACUGAGACACGGUCCAGACUCCUACGGGAGGCAGCAGUGGGGAAUAUUGGACAAUGGGCGAAAGCCUGAUCCAGCCAUGCCGCGUGUGUGAAGAAGGUCUUCGGAUUGUAAAGCACUUUAAGUUGGGAGGAAGGGCAGUAAGCUAAUACCUUGCUGUUUUGACGUUACCAACAGAAUAAGCACCGGCUAACUUCGUGCCAGCAGCCGCGGUAAUACGAAGGGUGCAAGCGUUAAUCGGAAUUACUGGGCGUAAAGCGCGCGUAGGUGGUUCAGCAAGUUGGAUGUGGAAUCCCCGGGCUCAACCUGGGAACUGCAUCCAAAACUACUGAGCUAGAGUACGGUAGAGGGUGGUGGAAUUUCCUGUGUAG
rnacentral:rRNA from 1 species